GAGAAAUCUGCCCCAAACUUGGGAAUAACAGUCGGAAACGACUGCUAAUACCGAAUACCUUCACGACGUCGCAUGGCGAUGUGAAGAAAGCUUUAUGCGGUUUGGGAGGAUCUCGCGGCCUGUCAGCUAGUUGGUGAGGUAACGGCUCACCAAGGCAUCGACGGGUAGCUGGUCUGAGAGGAUGAUCAGCCACACUGGAACUGAGACACGGUCCAG
rnacentral:rRNA from 1 species